AUUGGGUUACUUGCUGGGAUAAAGCUGUUAUAAGUCGAAAGAGUUGCUGUUGCUGCCUUCCUUGUAUGAUAAAAUCCUCAGACUACAAUCCUGCAAACCAUUGGAUGAACUGUUGCUAUCUUUUGUAAAAAAAAUCAGCAGAUAUUUGUCUUAUAAGCAGAAUGAAUUAUAAAUGCAAUUAAUUUUUAAUGCUUUAUUAUUCAAAUUAUAAAUAUUUAUUUCAUUAUUUUUUCUUGCAUUCAAUUAUUGUUUUGUGAUUGAAGAAAUAUUAAAAAAAAACUGUGAAAUUAUUGUUAUUUGAGAGGUCCCAAAGGUAUGUUGUAUGGUUUCACAAGAUACCCAUAAGACUUGCUUUAGACACAAGUUCAGUUUACAUAUAUUUUUUAAGUUAUGUACACUGGUUAAGAAUUAUAAGUUAAAUGAUUUUUUCUGGUUAGAAACCUAUUAAGUAGGACUUUGAUGGCCAAACACUAAAAGGGAAUAAAACAAAUCCCCUAUUAAACAAUUUAAGUACUGAGUUUUUGGUGCAAUAUGAACUAGUUGGUUUUCCCGUUUGAAUGGUUUUACACUAGUAAUUUUUUGGGGCCCUUUAUAGCUUACUGUUCGAUGUGAGCCAAGGCUCCGUGUUGAAGACCGUACUGUGACCUAUAAUGGUUUACUUUUAUAAAUUUUGACUUGGAUGGAGAGUUGUCUCAUUGGCACUCAUACCACAUCUUCUUAUAUCUAGAAAUAAAAAUGUUUAGUUAGUAAAAUCACAAAAAUACUGAACUCCGAGGAAAAUUCAAAAAGGAAAGUCCCCAAUCAAAUGGCAAAAUCAAAAGUUCAAACACAUCAAACGAAUGGAUAACAACUGUCAUAUUCCUGACUUGGUUCAGGCAUUUUCUUAUGUAGAAAAUGGUGGAUGGUUUGUUUUGACUCUGCAUUCUUUACAUUCAUACAAAUUAAGGGCUGUCAGUUUUAUUUAUUGGUUUUGUUUAUAUAUUAUAAAUGCAUUAUUCAGCAUCUGAGACCACUCAAGUGAAAAUAAUUACAUAGUUUUUGCAGUUUGUCAUAUUUUCUCAUUUUUGUGUGAUUGAUUUCUAUAUUCUUUCUCAUUUAUGAUUAUUUAUAUUUUAAUGUUUGAUUUUUGAGGCUUGUACUCAGUUUCUAAACAAUUACCUCCCCCCUCCACAUGUAUAACCAGGAUCCUGUAAAAGAAGUUUUUGAUUUUGAAGGAUGGAUGGAUAAUUAAAAAUGCAAGAUUUUUUUAAUGUGCUAGUUCAUAAUGUAAAAGUCUGCACAAGACAUCUAACCCCACCUAAACACAUUAUUCUGACUUCCAGCUGACCAGUCUUUGCUCCUACUCCUAAUUGCUGAAUGCUUAGCAGGGGAGCAUCCAAUACCAAUUUUCAAUUCUUUGAUAUGACCCAGGGCAGGACCAAAUCCCAUGCCCAUCUGCACUCAUGUUGAGCAUAAAAAGGUUAUUAAAGAAGAUUUGUCUGUCUGUUUGUCCAUCAUCAUCUAACAUCCACAGCUUAUAAACUAUUGGAAGGUUUUCAUUUAAACUUUCAGAUUAUCUUCUGUAUCUAAUGGUUGUGUGUAUUUUAUUUUAUUAUAAUGAAAUUUUGGGGUUCUCAAUUGUAAUGAAUGGACCUCCUAAGUAUUUGAAAAAAAAAGGGAAAGAAGCUUCUCAUACCACCAUUUUAUCAUGUGAAGGAUAGGUUGGUUCAAAUAUAUUUGUUUUUAAUCAUGUUUUUAGUAGUUGGAUCUCAUUAUGACAAAAUUUUAAUGACUUAAAUUCAAAAUAAAUUUGGAGUUCACACUGAUAUAUAUUACCACUGUAGCUUUAAUGUAAACUUUAUAAGGCUUUGCUAUAACAGGAUUUGUGUUUUAUCUGGUUUUAUCUGAUUUUAGAGGUUUUUAUGUGAUUUUAUUUGUUUUUACUGUCAAAUCUUGUUAUACCAAGCCUUAGUAUGAUUGAGUUUAUAUAUUUUGAUUAUACAUGCAAUUCAAAAUAUAAAUUUACAUAAUGAGAUCAGACAUUUAUUAUGCUUUUACCUCUUCUUAGUGGAUAAAUUAGAAAAAUGAAUGAACAUAAAUACUGAAGUGGUCGUUGAAGAUUGACCAAAUUACAAGAUUUAUAAAUGCAGAAUCUUGCUCUAACUAAAUCUAUGUUCUUAUCAGCUGAACCAACCUAUCCUUCAAUAUGAGUAAUAAAAUUUUAUAAAUGGAAAAGUCCAUUCUUCGAUUGGGGAACCUUUGGAUGUGAAAAAAAUAUACACAAUGCCAACAGAUCCUGAAGAUUAUUUGAAAGUUUAGGCAAAAACAAUUCAAUCCUUUAAUUGUGAUUGGAAGUUGUAGACGGAUGAGCAAACAGAUGAUAUAUUUGCUUACUAUGACAGUCAUUUCCUAAAGGAUAUGGACUAUGGGUAUGGGUUUUGCUCAUGGUUGAAGGCUGUAGGUGACUGAUAGUUGUUAAAUUCUAUGUCAUUUGGUCUCUGGUGGAGAGUUGUCUCAUUGGCAAUCAUAUCUCCUCUUUUAUUUUAUAUGAAAUAAUUACUUAUUACUUCCUGGGCAAAAAGUUCUGGUUCCAAGAAAAUAAUUAAAAAAAAUAUUUAUAUCAUACAUGUAUUGUUAAAUAACUAUCCUACUUUGAUAUAAAGAAUUGACUUUGGUUAGAAAUUGGGAGGAAUUAUAAAGAAACUUUAUAUACAAUAUAAGAGCUUGGGGUUAUAAAUGUUUAAUGAAAUGCAGUUAACUAUUUCCUUGGUGAUCUAAUAUUUUUUGCACAGCUCACGAUAUUAGUUUAUUUAAAUAACCCAGUAAAUAAAUUGAGUACACCUCAUAAAUGAAUUUGAUUCAUAUAUUUUUAUGCAUUUUUUAUCUAAGAAUUUACCAUUGUAUUCCUUGUUAUAUUUGUAAAUGCCUCUUCGUAUGUGACAAACUGAGGAUUCAUAUAUUUUAUGGAAUUAAAUAAAUUUUGAGUUUGGUAUUUAAAAGUAUUGGAAAGCACCAAGUUUAAUAUUGAGCAAAAAAAAAUUCCUUUAAGACCUAAGGAUAUUAAAAUUUAAGACAUGUAUCUCAGAACAGAAUUGAUUUUCUAAAUUCUAUUUAAACAGCUAGUCUGGGAACUGGUGUCAAGAAACUAAAUAGAAUCCUCAGCGCUGUCAGUUAUUUUGUAUAAUUGUGAUAUUUAACCAAUGAUACCUUACCCAUGAUGCAGAUCCUUUUCCUCCUUUUACUUAUAAAGGGACUAAAAACUUAUUAUUAUUACAAUUUCUUUGGUAUUUGUACACACUUGAUGGAGCAGAAUGGGUCUGGUUUCAUUUGAGUAUUUUAUAUUAUGAUGCAUGAUAAUGAUAUAAAUAAAUAGGUAAAUAAAAAUUUAAUUGAGAAAACCUA